GACGAACGCUGGCGGCGUGCUUAACACAUGCAAGUCGAACGGAAAGGCCCUGCAUUUGUGGGGUGCUCGAGUGGCGAACGGGUGAGUAACACGUGAGUAACCUGCCCUUGACUUUGGGAUAACUUCAGGAAACUGGGGCUAAUACCGGAUAGGAGCUCCUGCUGCAUGGUGGGGGUUGGAAAGUUUCGGCGGUUGGGGAUGGACUCGCGGCUUAUCAGCUUGUUGGGGGGGUAGUGGCUUACCAAGGCUUUGACGGGUAGCCGGCCUGAGAGGGUGACCGGCCACAUUGGGACUGAGAUACGGCCCAGACUCCUACGGGAGGCAGCAGUGGGGAAUAUUGCACAAUGGGCGGAAGCCUGAUGCAGCAACGCCGCGUGCGGGAUGACGGCCUUCGGGUUGUAAACCGCUUUCGCCUGUGACGAAGCGUGAGUGACGGUAAUGGGUAAAGAAGCACCGGCUAACUACGUG
rnacentral:rRNA from 1 species